rnacentral:sRNA from 1 species
GCUCCUGUAAAAUGUCAGUCAGAGAGUGUUCCUUGUAAUGUCAUUUGCCUUAGUAUAAAAGCUGGAGUCUUGGGUGAUGGGGAGAUGGCUCAGCAGUUCAGAGCGUUUGUGACUCUUCCAGGUGACCCAUGUUUGAUUCUUAGCACUAAUGUCAGGUGGCUCUCAACUGGGAAGGAUCUAGCUGCAGGCAUUUUUUCAACAGCUCAGCCCAUGUCAGCACACAGGAACAGAAUAAAAAGGGGUUUAGGCAUGCUGUCCUUGCUCCCCCUUACUCUGAUGAGACCCCAGCCUAUGGGAUGCUGCUGCUCACACUCAGGUGGACCCUCCUAUGUCAGCAAAUCCUCUGAAAAUGACCUCACAGACCGAGCAGUGGGUGUAGCAGAAACAAAAGAUUGCAGGUGUUUUACAUGGAGAUAAACUUCUAAGAGCUAAUACCCUACUUUUAAUCAGCUCUCUGGGACCCCAACCUUCAAACCACAUAAAUUCAGCAGCAAAAUAGUACAUUCUGAGGUUGAACUUUCUCCUCUGCAGGAAGAAGAGAGGAACCUGGUAGCUAGUUUGGUCCAAGCAAGGUGCUUUCCCUGUGCUCUGCUGGAGGCAUAAACUCCGUGAACUGAAAAUAGCCAAGAAAACAACUAUAAUUUCCUCCUUGCUUCCUACAAAGGAUUGAACAAAAAUGCUCAGGCCCUCCCGGGCGAUCAUAAAGAAGUUUAAAAUUUCAAAUAUUAUUAAAUACCUGCUUCUUGCUGUUUUAAUGGUGAUUCAAACAUUGAAGAGGAAAGUUUCUGAGCAGCGGUCCACAGAACUUUCUCAAACUGAGCAGAACUUUGGAGUAGAAGGUUUUGGUAGGAAGGCAUCAUCCCAAAAUGUCAUCAGAAUUGGAGGAACUCAAAUUUGAAAUCCAGAAGUGUAAAUUCGAGAGGCAUGAACUUUAUCAAAUCCUGGACCUUUAUAUCUAUGAUGAUUGGGACUACAGGCUGGAUGUUUAAUUGCCAAUACUUCAAUCUGAACAUGCGAUGAGAAUGACGGCUAUGCAAAUGAUAACCAACUCAAUAAGUGAUGCCAUGGAGAGGUACAAGGAGCUCAUAUGAGUGAACAGUUUCUACCGCAUCAGGCACUCCCAGCUCCUGUGUGAACAAACUCAAUUGAAGAACCAUAUACAGAUUUUGCUGAAUGAGAACAGAGAACUGCUGGUGGAGCAGUCUGAACUGCCAGCAUCCUAUUUGGAGGCAAAGGGGUUCUGUGAAGAGUCCAGAAUGAACAUCUGUGUCCCCAGUGCCAAGCAACAGUAGGCUUUCGCCCGAUUCUCGGUACCGUGUCGGUGCUGGCGCCGACAGCUCUGCUCUCCAGAGUCAGCAGAAAUGGCAUGCAUCAGCAACACUGAGCCAGGAGAUGGAGACAUUAAUUCAGUGUGCUAGCUAGCUGGUGGCUUUAGGGUAAGUCUCCAGUCAAAAACCUUAUGAGUAGGGCUCUGCAACAGGACCAGCUUGGGAGCCACUUGUUAAAGCAGAGAAGCCUACUGGAGGAAGGAACCAUGUCACCAGUGCUUCAUGGAUCCCUUUCCUCCACAACAGAAAGACA